ACAGAAUCUGCGUUGUGUGACCCGUACUUCCUUCAGAACUCGGCGGUGAUGACAAUUGAAAUGUCGAAGUGUCACCGAACUGCAAUGUGGCGUCUCCGUACCCGCCUUUCUUUAACGGAUGUCGAGGGAUGUGCUGCUCACUGCAACUCACUUAAGUGUGUCUGCGUCGACUACCCACUGUUCAGCCCGUGCUGUGCGGUUUGUAUUACUGGAGGAUCCGGCGGUACAGACGCUCUAAAUAUCCAAGUGGCGUCGGCAUCUCAGCAACGGCCAGUUCGCGGACCGGAACCCUGCAGCGGCGCCUUCGUGUCCGCAAUAUUCGCUAGCGUCGACUAAUGCUUGACAGACGGCGAUGACGGAGGUGCUGGGAUGUGCUGCUGACCAUAACACAGCCAGCUGUAUCUACUGCCAACAUGGAGUGAGUCGGCAAGUGCCCAUUGACUGACAGACCUGCAGGAGGACUUUGGCAGUGGCAGCAGUAUCAAAGCAGUUGCCCAAAUGGUAUGCUCUAUAGUGUUGGAUUACUUGUGCACAUGGGUGUAGUGUGAAAACGCGUGAAAGGACUUUCACAGUUCCUGCGGUGUUGUCAUGUCUGAAUCUGAAUCACUGAGCGGUUUGGUUAUAUCUGAAUUUGUGUUGUCACUGGACAGUUCCUUGAUCAUUAGCUGCCUGUUUUCUAGAUAUAUUACAGCAGUGGCAUAAGAGCAGGUGCAAAAAAAUGGGAUUUUGCUGUACAAUUGCAGGUUGGUUGCUUUUCCGAUUGUUGCAUUGCUCUAUUUGUUGCCAAAAAAAUUUUAUGAUCGCUGUCUGCUGCCUUGAAUGUGAACUGGUGCUUGUGAAAGCAUAACAUACUAUGUGUGUGAAAGAAGUCAAUCAAAUCAGUAAGUGUGGUGGAGUCACUGAUGUGAAAAGUUGAAAAAUGAAUGUUCUCGCAAAAUCUGAAUGUUCAUGGUGUAUGCCAUGAAAACUUGCAAUAACCCAAGCAAACCUACAUGUUCUAAAGAAUAUUAAGUGAUGCUUGAAGUUAUAAGCUGAUGCAUCAAGACUUGAGAUUAUAGAUAAGGAUUCAGUGUAAUUCGUGUUUAAUCAGCUUAAAACCUUGCCAAAGCAAUGGAAUCAAAUUGCGACAACUUUUAAGAGGUUGCCAUGAUGAGGUUGCUGGCAUUAGUUGUUGCUUGGGGAACAACGCAUAACAGGUAUGUGGUGAUUGAGCUUAUCAAAAAAGAAAGAGCAGCUAAAGAUAUCUAAUCAAUUGAAGACGUAAGCCACUGCAAGAAGUUAAAGUGAACAAACUCAAUAAGGCUACAGCUAUAUUUGCUCAGUAAUAGGAAAUUUGUAAUCUGACUGAUGGUGCAUAGGUGAUGGAUGUAUAUUGCAUGUUUGAGGGCUUAAUUUUUCAUAAGCUGUGUUUUUUUUCCGACGUGCUUAGUACGUGGCAUGCUUGACUGCGGACUCCCAGCACCAUGUACAAUUAAUGGGAAAUAAAGUACCUUUUUCUAUGCA